GUCUUUUGUAAAAUAAUUUCAUUCACUGACUUUUACAUUUCUUUUGUGUGUUUCAGAAAUGAUGGCAGCAUCCGCCGGCGGCACUGGGACGUCCCACCAGCUGCAGGUCCCACAGAGAGAGGGUACCAGUAUAUCACCAUAUGGUUCUGUGCACACCCCAUUUCGUGCCCCACAAUAUGCACAAAACGAUGUGACCAUGCAAGGUGACAACGGGCAGCUUUUGAAAGGCAAGUCUAUUAUAGAAAAUGUUGUGCUAUGUAACCACAGAAGUAUUUUGCACAUUUUUAUCUCAUGACAAU